rnacentral:lncRNA from 1 species
UUAUAACCCGAUUAUAUAGGCUCCUAUUAUCAGUUCAUCCUUCCUUCUCUCCUUCUAACCCUAAUCACCUCCACAGCCGCCAUUUCACCUCUACGUCUUCAAUCUUCCCCAGUCUCUGCGUUGGACCUCCCUCAUUGUUUACUCAUUGAUCGAUUAUGUGUUGAUUAGGAAUUCAAUCUUAUGUGAUAUGGGAGUCAAGACCUAUAACCUUGCACCGAAUCAAAACAUAUGGUUUGUCAUUUACAGAUUGAGCCAAUCCCAAGUGGAAAUCUGCCUCCUGGGUUAAUCCAAAUACAUGCCGCAGUAUGUGCGUGGGGAGCAUUCAUAUACAAGUGACGGAACCACUUCUUCAAGAGGUUUUUGCAAGUAUUGGUCCUGUUGAAGGCUGCACACUCAUAAGAAAAGAGAAGUCGUCUUAUGAAUUCAUUCACUACUUUGAUCGUAGAUCCGUUGCACUUGCUAUAUUAUCUCUAAAUGGGAAGCGUUUGUUUGGUCAACCUAUUAAAGUCAACUGGGCAUAUGCCAGUGGGCUGAGAGAGGACACAUGAGGUUAUAGCAUCAAUUGCCUAUUUGAUGGAGUUUCAAAGCAAUUAUGGUCUACAUGUUACCAUUGUUGCGAGUGAUUGGAAGAUUUAUUAUUUUGUUGAAUUUCAUUGUGUUUUGAUGAACUAUAUUUUUUUUAAUUGUAAGUGUUAACUUUUUGUUAACAGUGAGUUACAAAAUUGGUUGCCAAAUGUUUCAACAGUCAAAAUUGUUCUCUUAGGUAAAGAUGUUGGCACUUCUUUGAAU